AGUCAUGUAAUGUAGUCGACACGAGGAGACAUUGGUAACCUCUCCGGUCCAGUUAGCCCCAAAAGAGGAAUGUGUGUGUACAUUCGUUGUUUGGCGACUACCACACACGCUGGGUUUUUUUUCUGUCCGUUCGGCUAUUUCCGUGCAAGUUGUUCCAGCACACUCUGUCGUUGGGUGUAUCUAUUGCGCAGUUGUGCCUGGUAGACUGAGCUUUUUGUUCCCGUUUGAAAAACUUGAAGGAUUUGUUUGUUGGAGUUUACCAGUGCCGUCCUUUUGUGGUUUUGAUUCUGUUACCGAUACACUGAAUUACAGACAGAAUGGACAAGGACAAGGACAAGGGCAAGGAUACUGGGGAGAAUUUUGCAGUGAAGUACAAAGACGUAACAGUAGCAGCGGCAAAUUGUGAACCUGGAACUGUUAAACAUGUCGCAACGUGUGCUGCAGUUGCUACGGUUGUCGUAACUGCUGGAUAUGUGGCCGUGAAGAUACACGAUUCCAAAUCCAAACAAUAAGGCACUUUGUUUUCUGCCUUUCUGCUUUUCACAAAGAUUUCUUAUGAAUAUGAAAAUGGUUUCAUACCAUUUGAUAGAGAUUGAGAAACACGUGAUGCAAUCGGAAUAGUACAAUAAACUUUGCUUUUGAUAGAUAUUUCUUAUGAUUAUUAAAGGGAUUUGUCGCUUCUAUUUCUAUUCAAUAAAAUGCCUUUAUUUUCCACAGUAGUAACUUCCACACUCCAAGAUAAGUGGGUACUGUACUGAACAUUUUUAUGCAAGAAUUCUAUAAUUUGUAAAUAAAAGUUUACCGCUGAG